CACUCCUACGGGAGGCAGCAGUGGGGAAUAUUGGACAAUGGGCGCAAGCCUGAUCCAGCCAUGCCGCGUGAGUGAUGAAGGCCCUAGGGUUGUAAAGCUCUUUCACCGGUGAAGAUAAUGACGGUAACCGGAGAAGAAGCCCCGGCUAACUUCGUGCCAGCAGCCGCGGUAAUACGAAGGGGGCUAGCGUUGUUCGGAUUUACUGGGCGUAAAGCGCACGUAGGCGGACUAUUAAGUCAGGGGUGAAAUCCCGGGGCUCAACCCCGGAACUGCCUUUGAUACUGGUAGUCUUGAGUUCGAGAGAGGUGAGUGGAAUUCCGAGUGUAGAGGUGAAAUUCGUAGAUAUUCGGAGGAACACCAGUGGCGAAGGCGGCUCACUGGCUCGAUACUGACGCUGAGGUGCGAAAGCGUGGGGAGCAAACAGGAUUAGAUACCCCGGUAGUCC
rnacentral:rRNA from 1 species